CAGAAUGUAUAGUCAUGGUUAGCGUUGUUGGAAUAUAAGAAGUCUUUCUAACGAAAGCAUAGUACAGUCCAGUCCCGCUUGUUUAUGUAAAAAAAGAGGAAAGGAGAAUUGAGGAAGAGAAGACAUCUCUUUGCGCUUCAGUGUUCCUUCUAGUUCUUCUAGUCUUCGUCUUCCUCUCCUGAAUCUGAAAAAUUUCGAAAAGGAAUAUAACUUAACGACUGAUCGAACUCCCUGAAGUGAUGGGUAGGAUGAAGGCCUACACAGCUGAGGAGAUCGUAUUGGCUACUAAUUAUUUUUCUUGGCAAAUUGAGAUCAGAUGCUGGAGGAAUUUGGGGCAGUGUUUAUAAAGGCUAUAUUGACGAAAAGUUAUAGCCUGACAGACUCCAAGUGCAAUCUCCACUGGUGUUCCGCGACAUAGGUUACUUGAUGUCGCUUGCAAAAAAUGAAAAUUCUUGAUGUGGAUGCGUACAAGUGGCUAAAUGACUUGACUGGAACCCCAUGUACUUACCUUUAUACAGCCAGUCAUACAAGUUUCCAUUAGUGAAGGGCAGGAUGAAGGCCUACACAGCCGAGGAGAUCGUGUUGGCUACUGAUAAUUUUUCUUGGCAAAUGAAAUCAGAAUCUGUAGGAAUUUGGGGCAAUGUUUAUAAAGGCUACAUUGACAGUAAUGUUGUUUCCAUCAAAUUCCUCACAUCCUACCAAGAAUGUCAUUUUGAAUCUGGGAUUAAGUACCUCGAACUAAUCCGACACUCGCCUUCCUUCAAUCUUGGGCUUCUGCUCCGAGCUCAAGUGCUUUGUCUAUGAACAUAUAGAGUACAGUCGCUCGCUAAAGGAGGUUGUGAAGCAAAACCUAGAAUGGCACGAUCGCAUUCGAAUUGCCAGUAACAUUUGCACAGCCUUAUGCUACAUCAAGAGGGCUAGGUUUUCCUUUGUUUUUCUGGGUUUGUGUUUUUGUACCUACGGAUCACACGGCCCGGCAGUGGUCUUACAGAAGCUCUUCGCACCAAAGCUUGCCAGCGGUGAAAUCCGGAACUUCGUCAUCGCAUUCGUCCACCUUCACCGCAGCCUUGACCACCACCUGCGAACCCGUCAAUCUCACAUCCAACGGCGCGGUGGAGAAGAGGUGGUGUCGCGCUCGAUCUUCGACGACGUCACUCUCAGUAGCCGAGUCGAGAUUCAGCGAGUUCUUGAGCGACCCGAUUGCCUCGGAGACGUUCCGGCUCAGCCCGUGCAGCUUCUUUCCGACUGAGUUUCCAGAUCGCCGACGUUCGUCUGCUUCGGCAUCCCUCUUCGACUGGUCAAGUCAUCCUCUUCGCAGAUCUGUGCAUCUCUCCGGCGAUUCCACCAUUAAUAGAGCCGGAGCUGUUCUGGCGAGGAGGAAGCAAAGACUUGGACUUUACAAACGGAUUGGGGUUGGAAUUGACAGAGAGAGGCCUCUCCACCUUCAAAGAUCCCCCACUGAGUAGUGGCCAUUACACCCAGAAACACCAAAGCUUGAAAAAGCACAAUUCUCUGUUUUUAGAAAUUGAUAAACCCAGAAGAA